rnacentral:rRNA from 1 species
UACGUAGGGGACGAGCGUUGUCCGGAUUCAUUGGGCGUAAAGAGCUCGUAGGCGGUUUGUCGCGUCUGCUGUGAAAACUCGGGGCUUAACCCCGGGCCUGCAGUGGGUACGGGCAGACUAGAGUGCGGUAGGGGAGACUGGAAUUCCCGGUGUAGCGGUGAAAUGCGCAGAUAUCAGGAGGAACACCGGUGGCGAAGGCGGGUCUCUGGGCCGUAACUGACGCUGAGGAGCGAAAGCGUGGGGAGCAAACAGG